rnacentral:lncRNA from 1 species
UAGUUUCAUGGUAUUACCGAUAACUGCUAAAAGGAAUAAAUCAGUUAUGAAAAAGGUAUUUAAAAAUUGGCUUGCCUACCUCUCAUUAAUAUGCGUCAUCGUGACUUCCCAGGGUGAGAAUUCCAGGUCGUGACACCUCACAAAUAACCCUUUUGGCCCAAACGAUACUGACCGUAUGACUUAAUUCAACAUUACCCAAAACGAACUUGACACUUAAUCCACUCAAUUCAAACGACUUCAAAUUAAUUUAAAACAAACCUUGACUUCCGUUUUAUGUGAAAUCAGAUUGGUAAUAUAUAUUAAUUAACAAACCGAGCAAACAUGAAAAAGCAAGCUUUGUUUUGAUAUUAGACUCCCACCACAGUGAUCCAUAAACAUCUGAUUUAAGCUUAUAACAAUACAUUUGCAUAUGUAACCAACAAAAAUUUGUUUUCGACCAAAGACAUACACCCAAUUACAUUAGGUAUUAACAGAUUUGCACUAACUAAAAUGGCUGCCAUAAAACUUCAGUUUUAGGAGCAUAGCACAACCCUUUUAACCAAACACACUCCAGACCUUUAAGAAUCGAAAUGAAAAUUAACAGUUAGAAAAGAAAUAGAACUUAGGUCAGAUUUGCAUAGCAACUAAAUGAGUGAAUACAUAUCAUACUAAACAUGGAACAAAUUGUAAACCAAGUGCAUCUGAACAAAUGCGGGCAGAAGGUGUUUUUCUUGCAAAUCCAUCCAACAUAAAAAUGUAAAUGAACUUAUAGCAACUCCUCAAUGACAUAAAUGGAAGUGACAGACUACAGAUACACUAAAUGAACACAAAAUUCAUCAGGAAAACACAACUAGUAUUUAGUAUCAAGAGACUACUGCACAUCUUGAACUCCCAAUCGGUUUCAUGGCUUCAAACUCACAUGUCAUACAUUCAUGGGUCUAAGAAAGUACUUGUGACGAAAAGGAACAAGAACUAGGGAUAUCAGCAACAGGCACUAUCAGCCAGCCCAGGGUAAACAAACCAAUGAAACGGUGAAUCUCCACAACCAACCAAAACCAGCUUUAAAAUAUUCAAAUCACCCCAUCUUCAACCCCAGAUAAAUCAAAGGUAACUUCAGAAAUUUUAAACUCCCGAAUGAGAGAAGGAACUUAACUUGAACAGUGGAAAGUCUUAAAUCAACUCUAAACAAAAAGUUCAAACCAUUUGUUUUCCACCUGAAAUGUAGUUAAGGGAAGUUUCUAAGUAUUCUGCAGAAAUUUUGAUGGUUUUCUCACAUUGAAAAUGCAGGAACUUAAGAACUUAAAAUAUUCGGCCAUUUCAGCUUUUGAAUUUUUAUCUCUUCAGAGUAUACCUUCAAUGCCAAGUAAAGGUGUCUUUAUAGGCAAGGUUCUAGGGCAUAAAAAAAUCAGUUUUUGCCCAUUAAACCUUUUCAAAUUUUACUUUUUGCUACUUAAUCAUUAAAAUUUUGACUUGUUUGUUAAGCCUGUCUUUUAGCUUCCAGGAAGCUUCCUAAGUCUAUUACUGAUAGAUUCCCUAAGAAGAUUUCCUAGACUCUUGGACUAAUCCCCCUCCCUUUGCCCCAAAAAUCCAGUUCCAACACUCAAAUGGGCAGAAAAACUAGACGGGCAAAAAAGGCCGGUAGUCCUUUAGACCUUUAGACCAAAUGGUCUUAGUACAACCCAAUACUUAAAUAAAACAGCAAAUUAAACGAAAGUUAACAUGAUGAAUCCAAAUAAACUAAAGGAAAAACAAUGGCAAUUACGCCUUAACUGAACUAAAAUGUUUUUUUAAGAAAACAAAAAGGAAGAAUAAAAAACAUAGAGGUAGAUAGUAAUAACAAAAAGAAGAAAAAUGGAAAAAAAAUAAAAUCAGGCAUACCUCCCAAAACUAACGGACAACCAUCUUGAAAUCAACCUCACUGAAUCCUCAAAUUUUGACCGAGAUAGACCUUAAUUAUGUGUUCUCGACUGAGACUAAAAUCGAUUUCGACCUCAAAACCUUGCUGAUUUGGAGUUUUGAGAUUUUAGGGUUCGUCUUUUGAAAUCCAGAUCCGAGAGAUUUUGGGAGUAUUUGAAGGAAAAUAAAUGGAGAUUUGGAAUGAGGAGGUCAUGGAGCUUAUGGGGUGUAAUUUUGGUGGAGAGCAGAGGUGGCACCGCCACCCCAAAGUGGUGGAGAAAGGGGCGGAGCUAGGGUUCUAAAGGUUGUCUCUGAAGAAAGAGUGUAUGAGUGACACGACUUAGGGGGAGGGGUAGCGGAUUCAAAUAGUCUUACAUUAAUG